UCCCAUCCCGAACCCGGUAGUUAAGCCCCUCAGCGCCGAUGGUACUGCGGCUUCUGUCGUGGGAGAGUAGGUCACCGCCGGCU
rnacentral:rRNA from 1 species